ensembl:lncRNA
UCCUACACACCGUGGAUAUUUGUGCGGAUUGACAUGAGAUGCUGCGAGAGAGUUGUGCUGCUUUUAUAUCAGUGAAACAGUUUUUUCCUGUCAGAGAUGGACCCUGGUGGGUUCCAAUUACAUAUUUUACAAUGCCAUGUCUAUAAUGGUUAGAUUUUCUGUUUUUGGAGAAUGACGCCUACGAGGGCCACGGCCGAGAAGACUUUCAGUUUUAGUGAGACGAGGACUUUUGUAUAAUACUCGUUAAAUUGACCAAUUUAAUUUAAUUUCUGGUUUCACUAAAAUUGUUUUGUUUUAAAGGACUACUGUGUCCUUCUGGCUGUGGAGCAAAAAUGUUUGCCCGACUCAGUGAAACGGUAUCGUAAUCAUAUCCUCCUGGAGAGAGACAAUCAAAUCAGCAGUAAAUCCGCUAACAAAUAAAUAUGACCAAGCGGAAGCAGUAGGAUUCUUGCUCAGGAUAUGCAGCACUGCCUUUAACAGGUCCUCUAGGGUCACAUCUGUAGUUGCCAUGGGGAU